CGGGGUGUAGCGUAGCCCGGUUAGCGCGCCACGCUGGGGGCGUGGAGGUCGGAGGUUCAAAUCCUCUCACCCCGA
rnacentral:tRNA from 1 species